rnacentral:rRNA from 1 species
AGUGAACGCUGGCGGCGUGCCUAAUACAUGCAAGUCGAACGGAGUGGCGCGCGGGUGAGUAAUGUAUAGCUAAUCAGCCCUACACUAGAGGAGAACAAUUGGAAACGACUGCUAAUACUCUCUAGUGUAGGUUGAGGCUAUAUUGUAUCAGCUAGUUGGUGAGGUAAUGGCUCACCAAGGCUAUGACGCGUAACUGGUCUGAGAGGAUGAUCAGUCACCCUGUAACUGAGACACGGUCCGGAAUCCUACGGGAGGCAGCAGUAGGGAAUAUUGCUCAAUGGGGGAAACCCUGAAGCAGCAACGCCUCGUGGAGGAUGACACUUUUCGGAGCGGAAGCUCCUUUUGUUAGGGAAGCGGUACCUAACGAAUAAGCACCGGCUAACUCCGUGCCAGCAGCCGCGGUAAUUC